rfam:Gossypium raimondii Chr12_contig_846, whole genome shotgun sequence.
GGAGAGAUGGCUGAGUGUAAUAAAGCAUUGGAUUGCUAACCUGUUGUGCGAGUUAUUCGUACCGAGGGUUCAAAUCCCUCUCUUUCCG